rnacentral:rRNA from 1 species
GACAGGGGCCUCGAGCGUUAGGCGGAAUCACUGGGCUUAAAGCGCGUGUAGGCGGCUCAGUAAGUCCGCUCUGAAAGCCCGGGGCUUAACCCCGGGAGGCGGGUGGAUACUGCUGAGCUUGAGUCCGGAAGAGGCGAGUGGAAUUCCCGGUGUAGCGGUGAAAUGCGCAGAUAUCGGGAGGAACACCAAUGGCGAAGGCAGCUCGCUGGGACGUGACCGACGCUGAGACGCGAAAGCGUGGGGAGCAAACAGG